GAAAGAUGAUAAAAGUGAAGAAAAAGAUAUUUUAAAUAUUUAAUAAAUUUUAAGAAAAUUUUAAAAGGUGUUAAAGUUAUUAGUCGAAAGGUUCACGUUAAUUAUAACAUGAAACCACCCAUAUACAAUAUAACAAAUGGCCGGCUCGAAAUUUCAUUUUCUAUUUUCCUUCCUCUCUUUCGACUUGACUAAUCUCCUUUGCAGUGGCGGCACUAUAAUUCCU
rnacentral:lncRNA from 1 species